rnacentral:rRNA from 1 species
UAGGGAAUCUUCCACAAUGGACGAAAGUCUGAUGGAGCAACGCCGCGUGAGUGAAGAAGGUUCUCGGAUCGUAAAACUCUGUUGUGAGGGAAGAACAAGUACCGGAGUAACUGCCGGUACCUUGACGGUACCUCAUUAGAAAGCCACGGCUAACUACGUGCCAGCAGCCGCGGUAAUACGUAGGUGGCAAGCGUUGUCCGGAAUCAUUGGGCGUAAAGCGCGCGCAGGCGGUCCCUUAAGUCUGAUGUGAAAGCCCACGGCUCAACCGUGGAGGGUCAUUGGAAACUGGGGGACUUGAGUGCAGAAGAGGAAAGCGGAAUUCCAAGUGUAGCGGUGAAAUGCGUAGAGAUUUGGAGGAACACCAGUGGCGAAGGCGGCUUUCUGGUCUGUAACUGACGCUGAGGCGCGAAAGCGUGGGGAGCAAACA